rnacentral:rRNA from 1 species
AGUCGACGAAGUUCCUGACGCCAUACCUCCAAGAAAAUCCUCUAGGAAGAGAGCGCGUGCCCGUACCAAAACCGACACAGGUGGACAAGUUGAGAAUACUAAGGUGUGCGAGAUAACCCUCGUUAAGGAACUCGGCAAAAUCGUCCCGUAACUUCGGGAGAAGGGACGCCCCGUUAGAGUGUAGCCACUUGCUGGUGAAGCUUGAGGGGGCCGCAGUGAAUAGGCUCAAGCGACUGUUUACCAAAAACACAGGUCUCUGCUAAGUCGUAAGACGACGUAUAGGGGCUGACGCCUGCCCGGUGCCGGAAGGUUACGUGGAGAUGUUAGGGUUCGCCCGAAGCAUUGAAACUAAGCCCCGGUAAACGGCGGCCGUAACAAUAACGGUCCUAAGGUAGCGAAAUUCCUUGUCGGGUAAGUUCCGACCUGCACGAAUGGCGUAACGACUUGAGCGCUGUCUCAACGAGGGGCUCGGUGAAAUUGCAGUCUCGGUGAAGAUGCCGAGUACCCGCGGCUAGACGGAAAGACCCCGUGAACCUUUACUACAACCUGGUAUUGGAGUUCGGUCCAUUUCGCUCAGAAUAGGUGGGAGACUUUGAAGCAUCGAUUGCGGUCGGUGUGGAGUCAUCUUUGAGAUACCACCCUUGGUGUAUUGGACUUCUAACAGUAGGCCGUAAUCCGGCUACUGAACAGUGCCAGGCGGGUAGUUUGACUGGGGCGGUCGCCUCCUAAAAUGUAACGGAGGCGUACAAAGGUUCCCUCAGUACGGUUGGAAACCGUGCGUAGAGUGCAAAGGCAUUAAGGGAGCUUGACUGCGAGACUGACAGGUCGAGCAGGUACGAAAGUAGGUCUUAGUGAUCCGGCGGUAGCGAAUGGAAGCGCCGUCGCUCAACGGAUAAAAGGUACUCCGGGGAUAACAGGCUUAUCGGGCCCAAGAGUUCACAUCGACGGCCCGGUUUGGCACCUCGAUGUCGGCUCGUCGCAUCCUGGGGCUGUAGUAGGUCCCAAGGGUUGGGCUGUUCGCCCAUUAAAGCGGCACGCGAGCUGGGUUCAGAACGUCGCGAGACAGUUCGGUCCCUAUCUGCCGUGGGCGUUGGAGAAUUGAGAGGAGUCGUCCCUAGUACGAGAGGACCGGGAUGAACGUACCUCUGGUGUAUCUGUUGUCCUGCCAAGGGCAUUGCAGGUUAGCUACGUACGGAUCGGAUAACCGCUGAAAGCAUCUAAGCGGGAAGCCGACCUCAAGAUAAGUUCUCCCAUCCCCUAGAGGGAGUAAGACCCCUGGUAGACCACCAGGUUGAUAGGCUGGAUCUGGAAGGGCGGUGACGCCUGAAGGAGACCAGUACUAAUGGGUCGAGGGCUUGAC